rnacentral:rRNA from 1 species
GAUGAACGCUGGCGGCGUGCCUAAUACAUGCAAGUCGAGCGAACAGACGAGGAGCUUGCUCCUCUGACGUUAGCGGCGGACGGGUGAGUAACACGUGGAUAACCUACCUAUAAGACUGGGAUAACUUCGGGAAACCGGAGCUAAUACCGGAUAACAUGUUGAACCGCAUGGUUCAACAGUGAAAGACGGUCUUGCUGUCACUUAUAGAUGGAUCCGCGCCGCAUUAGCUAGUUGGUAAGGUAACGGCUUACCAAGGCAACGAUGCGUAGCCGACCUGAGAGGGUGAUCGGCCACACUGGAACUGAGACACGGUCCAGACUCCUACGGGAGGCAGCAGUAGGGAAUCUUCCGCAAAGGGCGAAAGCCUGACGGAGCAACGCCGCGUGAGUGAAGAAGGUCUUCGGAUCGUAAAACUCUUUUAUUAGGGAAGAACAAAUGUGUAAGUAACUAUGCACGUCUUGACGGUACCUAAUCAGAAAGCCACGGCUAACUACGUG